rnacentral:rRNA from 1 species
CCUACGGGAGGCAGCAGUGGGGAAUAUUGGUCAAUGGGCGAAACCCUAAAGCAGCAACGCCGCGUGAAGGAUGAAGGCUUUCGGAUUGUAAACUUCUUUUGUUAGAGAAGAAAAUAACGGCGUGUAACCAAUAAUAACCGGCUAAUAACGAGCCAGCAGCCGCGGCAAUACGGCGGGUGCAAGCGUCAGUCGGAGUCACUGGGCGUAAAGGGCGGGUAGGCGGGAUCGCAAGUCAGAUGUGAAAUCCUAUGGCUCAACCAUCGAACUGCAUUUGAAACUGUUAUUCUUGAGUACGGGAGAGGUAGGUGGAAUUCGUUGUGUAGCGGGGAAAUCCGUAGAUAUCAAGAGGAACACUCAUUGCGAAGGCGGCUUGCUAGACCGUAACUGACGCUGAUGCGCGAAAGCGUGGGGAGCAAACAGGAUUAGAUACCCUUGUAGUC